GUGCUUGCUCCUGCAGCACAUUAAAAAUUGGAACAUACAGAGAAGAUUAGUACGGUCCCUGCACAAGGAAGGCAUGCAAAUUUACGAAGUAUUCCAUAAUAUA